GCUGUAUGAGUUUUAAUUUCAUAAAGCUAGAGAACCGAAAGUACGAACUGACGCCGAGCACUUCGGAUCCGCCGGGGGCCUCCUCUCGCCUCGCCUCGGCACGGCACGGCACGGCACGGAGGAGGUGGAGGAGGCGAUGCCGGGGCGGGGAGCCGCCGCCGCCGCAGCAGCAUCAGCAGCAAGCGGAGGAAGCAGGAGGGACGGAUGCUGCGGGAGGCGGCGCGCCGCUGGUACCGACGAGGAGGAGCGGUGGUGGUGGAGAGGGGAGGGCGCUCCGAUGAGGAGGAGAGCAACACCGGCACGAUGCUGGCGUUGCGUUAGAGGAGCCGCGAGCGCGUCCGUGAGGGCGAAAAUGUCGACCCCCUCGUCCCUGAAGACGGAAGGCAACUACCAUCGGACAGGACAACGAGUCACCUUACAGGUAAAUAUUCUCACCAGGAACACAUGAAUGUACAGAAGUAGUUCAGAUGUUUUUUUCCCAUAUAAAGUCCAAAAAUGUUGCCGAAUUUACGACAUUACAUGUCCUAUAGUUUUCAGGUAAAACAACAAUUUCAUGGAUUUAAGCAGCAGGUUCAGCUUUGAGAUGCUGCAGGCUUGCAGAUAGUGUUUUGAGCAAACAAUUUUGCAGCAAUGCUUGCAGUUGAUUGUUGCCCAUAUUUUGUAGAACUGUGUGGACGGUUUUGUGUGUGGGUGGGAAGAAGAUGAGUUACAGCCUGAGCAUGAAUUUUAAAAUAUUGAAGAUUUGGCCAUUCUCAUCAAAAAGGAUUUUUAAAGUGUGCAGCACUUUAAACCUAACAGUCUAAUUCAUACAAAAAGUGGCAAUAAUAGGGACAUUUACAGCCAGUUUUAUUUGCGCACAGUGUAAAUGUCCGUUUGAUAUUAUUCAUGUAUAUAUCAGAAUAUAUACACACAGUGUGGAGCUGCAGUAGCCUGCAGCAACAGAUAGUAAACGGUGUGAUUUGAGGAGUAAAGUAAGAUGUCCAUGUUGAAUUCCAUCAUUCCUUUGAAGUAUUAACAUUUGUUACAUGGCACAUCAUCCCCCAACCUCCACACACACGCACACACACACGCACACACACACACACACACACACACUCUCUCUUUCAUUCACAUACAUCCAGCGUAUUAUUCCUUUAAACACUAUGAUCCUAUUUGUCAGGUAGAGCGUGUGGUAGGUGCAGGGGAGGUGGCCGUGUAAUCUUUGCUGCGGUUCUUUAUCCCGUUAGGAGAGUGCAGGCGAGCUUUGGACCUGCUCAUGUGUAAAGAGCGUUUGGGUGGCUCUGUCCUUUCGGGCCCUAAUGCCUCGACGAGCCACGCUCCCCUUGUCCGAAGUCUCUGGAUCAUUGUGGGGAAAGUAUUGAUUUCCAUAAUGUGGUAUUCCAUACGCGAUUAACAAAGGGAGCAUUUAUAUAAAACGCUUGAUAAUAUUGUGAAUUACAAAGGAAACCUCAGUGCGGUGAGAUUUUAUUGGAUUCACACUCACAUUCAAAUUUACAUUUCCAAUUUUUAGGCAUCAAGGAAACCGAACCUGUGUCCAGUAGACGUUAUCCUUAUUUCACAACGUUGAAACAGAAACAUCAGUUUGUUCCCUCCAAUGCCUCCUAGUUCAGCAUUAGGAAUUAAACAAUAAGUGCACAUUGUGAGCAAGGUCGAAUCUACAUGGUUCUACAACCUUGAAGCUCAAUCUAAAGCUCAGUUAUUUAAAUUUUGCGUGGAGUUCUUUGAAUCGCCCAGAUUUUCCCAAGCUUCGUAUAUUAGCAUAUGCAAGGGCCGGCCUGUGCUGCUGUUUUCUAAAGUGGAUGUAAAUUAUAACCUCAGUAUUAUACAGGCUGAUAGGAGAUAAAUCUCUGCAGUAAUGCAUUGCAGCGAAUGGGGGUGCGGGGGGUUGCUGUGGAGGGGGAUUGAAGAGUGUGUGUGUGUGUGUGUGUGUGUGUGUGAGAGGUACUGUACAAUAGCCGGUGGCAGAUGGAAUACAGACUUGUAAAGCACUUGCUAAUAGUCAUGCUAAACUCUCCUUCACUGGUUUAAGUGUCUUCUGAUUUCCUCUUGUAUAUCUAGAAAAAAAAAGAAUACAUUUUAAGAGAGAGAUUCUUAGAAAUAGACAUUUUUAAGACGGGUUUAUACCGGUUUAAUAGUUUUGCAAGUGCGCGCACAUUGUUUUAAAACCAAUAUUAACACAGGGAGAUUACUAAGUCGAAAUUUGCACUUGUGCGGUCCAAAAGGCUGAGGGGCUUCAGGCCUCACGAGCAGAGUGGAGAUCUCUUUGGAAUCUCUAUGCAAACUAGGGCUUGAAUAAUGAGAUGUAUUUAUGAAGGGCUGGGAAAAGGGUCCUGCUUUUGAAAGCCAGUAGGCCGGAGCCUGAAUGGGAUGGAAGGAGGAGGGGGCGAGUCGGACAAGGGGGACCGGGGGGUAUGUGAAGAGGGGGUACAGGGGCCCCCGGCAGCCCGGGCCUCGGCUGAGGCAGCUGUGAAAAGGGGUUCCGUCUUUUUCCCACGCCCAGCAAGACGCGAAACACUGCCGCAGCUCGCUAGGGUCAAGUCCCAUCGCUAAUAUAUACACACAUACAUACACAUGCAUGCACGCACACAUGGAUGAGAGACGUGUGUGUGUGUGUGUGUAAACGUUGUGCAAAUUAACAAGCUGUCUGGGAAGCUCUGUGACAUGGGGGGGACACCUGCUAUUCUCCCAGAAUGCCUUGCACUCUCAUCAGGGGCUGCUGUGCUUGAUGGGACAACAAUUAGGUCAUAACUUCAACUUGAACUUAAAAUGUUGCCGAUGUUUGAAAGCGGGCUGGUUUUUGACUUGUUUUCGUUUGUUUUCUCAGUAUUUUUGAAUAGG
ensembl:lncRNA